rnacentral:rRNA from 1 species
CAAUAGCGUAUAUUAAAGUUGUUGCGGUUAAAAAGCUCGUAGUUGGAUUUCUGCUGAGGACGAUCGGUCCGCCCACUGGGUGAGUAUCUGGCUCGGCCUUGGCAUCUUCUUGGAGAACGUUGCUGCACUUGACUGUGUGGUGCGGUAUCCAGGACUUUUACUUUGAGGAAAUUAGAGUGUUUCAAGCAGGCGCACGCCUUGAAUACAUUAGCAUGGAAUAAUAAGAUAGGACCUUGGUUCUAUUUUGUUGGUUUCUAGAGCUGAGGUAAUGAUUAAUAGGGAUAGUUGGGGGCAUUCGUAUUUAACUGUCAGAGAUGAAAUUCUUGGAUUUGUUAAAGACGGACUACUGCGAAAGCAUUUGCCAAGGAUGUUUUCAUUGA